rnacentral:lncRNA from 1 species
AGCACUGGCUCUACCUCUGCUGCGGUAAUAAUAAUAAUCCUCCAGAGUGGGACGCUUAUGAUCCGUCCACUGGGCGCUGGAUCCACGUGCCCAAGAUGCCACCGUCUGGAUCCUACUUCUGGGAUUCCCUCGCUGUAGGAACCGAGCUGCUGCUGUUUGGGGAGACAGGUGUUGCCUUGAGAUAUAGCAUCCUUACCAAUUCAUGGACAGGGCUGCCUGAUGCUGAUGCGAUCAACACCCCGCGCUACUUGUUUGGGGCAGCGAGUGGUGGUGAGAAGGCGUACGUCGCGGGAGGCCUUGAUUCUUCUCGUACUAAUGCAUUGAGCUCUGCAGAGAUGUAUGACUCGGAGACACAUACUUGGACACCCCUUCCCAGCAUGAAUAGGGCCAGGUACGGAUGCUCUGGCGCCUUCAUGGACGGCAAGUUCUAUGUGAUCGGUGGUGUUAGCAGUACCAGUAGCCGCGAGCCGUUGACUUGCGGUGAGGAGUAUGACUUGAACCUGCGGUCAUGGAGAGUCAUCGACAACAUGUCUCAGGGGCUCAACGAGACAGUCGAUGGAGCUCCUCCGCUCAUUGCGGUUGUGAACAACGAGCUUUAUGGUGCUGAUUACAGUGAGAAUAAUGAUUUGAAGCAGUAUGAUAAGCUGGACAACAAGUGGAUCACUCUUGGGAAAUUGCCUGUACAGUCGAAGAACAAAGAUGCCUUUGACAUGGGUUUCCGAGCGUGUGGUGACCGGCUGAUUGUUAUUGGGCGUCCAAACAAUUCUACUGAUGAAAAGGUGGUUGAGCUUCAUUCAUGGAUCCCGGAUGGGCAACCGCCUGUGUGGAAUUUCGUUGCCACAAGGCCAUACCGGGGCAACGGGAUUCUGUGCGCCGCGAUGGGUUGCUGAGUUGGUCAACUAAAUAAACCUUGGAUACACGCAAGAUAUGAGUAAGUUACUUACCAUGUACUGCUUGCUUUGUAUAAAAAAAUUAUUUAUCCUGUUUGCUCCAAGAUUAGAAUGACAUGGAGUUUCUCUUCAUAUUUCCAUGCAGUGCUGGCUGUGCCUCAUUCUGAAUUUCUGAAUUUCCUGGGAGCGCUCCGCUGAUGAUACAAAAAAGACAAGACAUGAAUGAGUUCCGGAGAAAGUGGCUUCAGAAACAUCAAGAGUUUUAGUCACUAGCUGUUAUUUCCAGUUGCAAUUUGUGUUCCAAUAAUGUUUUAACGCUUCCUACGGGCGUUUUGAUGAUCUUGAUCUCCAUCAUCCAACUUUAUCUUUACAGUACAACAGAACUCUCAGUUACUUUUCGAACAUCGAAUGCAGUCUCUAGCUUUCCCUCUAUUUUUGUUCAAGAUUUUUCGAACUCGGAAUAAAAAACAAUCUGGACUCUUCGUUAUUCAGUCAGCUGUUCUGAAAAUGUAUUUUAACUGCUACUGACAUACAUGUUUUUAACUGCUUAUUUUUACAGAUAAAUAAUGUUUACAGAUAAAUGGCAAACACUUAUUUCAUUGUGAAUAUAUCAUGAUUGUUUAUUACAAAAAGUACUUGCACAUUUUAACUGCUUAUUUAUACAAAAUUUAAAACUUUUUGAUAAAUUAAAAUUUUUAUACAUGAUGUUCCAAAAUAUAUGGUGAACAUAUUAAUACACUUGGGAUAUUUUACAAAUACACUAUGAUUAUUUAUGAAUUCAUGAUGAAUUUUACAAAUACACUAUGAUUAUUUAUGAAUUCAUGAUGAAUUUUAAAAUACAUGAAAUUUAUUUUUAAAAUACAAGAUGGACGUUUUUUAGUUACCAAUUGAUAUAUAUUUUUACAAAGCAUUUUUUAAAAAAAAAAUUAUUCAUGUUGAACAAUUAUUUUUACAAAAUGAAUAUUUAUUUAUUAUAAAUGAGGAGUUGUGAAUACACGAUGAUCAUUUUUUAUAAAUACACAAUGAAUUGUCUUUCAUGCAAGAUGAACAAUAUUUAAAUAAAACAUGAUUAUUGUUAACAUGAUACAGGUGCGCCUCGCCCGACUCUCUCACGCCACGCCUGCCAAGGACGAGAGCCACGUCGCCGCCGACCUCCGCGGCGGCCGCGCUCGCCAAGAUGCCCGCCGUGUACGGGCCCUCCACGCCAACGUCCUGCUGGCCGAUCUCAACGCUCCCGUCAGGCUGCGUCACAUGCAUUGUUGCUCCCGUCAGGCUGCUGAAACCUGCGAGAUGAAGGAGGCUUUGAUGGCCCCGUCCACAUAUUAUUCACACCUACUUGUUAUGUUUUUUAUUUAACCCUUGUCAGAGGCCUUGAUUACUACUCGUCCGUUUAAGUUUUUUUAAAAGUUUCACUAACGUGCUACAUACAGAUGACAUACUUUAGAACGUAGAUUCACUCAUUUUGCUCUGUAUGUAUUAGUAAAAUUUAUAAAAAAGACUUAUAUUUAGGAACAGAUGGAGUAUACUGGUCUGAGUGUGAUAUAGUAUGAAGCUGUGUUCUUCAAGGGUGCCUGCCACACAGGUUGGAGUUUCUUAUUAUUCACAUAUUUCCGCGUUAGCUUUUCUAUAGUAUUUACUACUCACAUUGAUGUAUCUCAUAGUUUUAAAUAGCCGGCUAUAGCCUUUUCAGCAGGCUUCCGCUAAAUGAUAUCAUGUACAAAUAAGCCGCCUAUAGCUCGCUAUAGCUGAUUUAGAGGCCCUCCGCUAUUUAUAACAUAGAUUUAUCCUGAAAUCUAACCUUUUCUUUAUCAUCUCAAACCGUACCCCAAAUCAUCUUUCUAAUCUCCAACACAGGUAAGAGACACUUUCAUUACAUUCAUCUUGUGCUAACUCAUUUUUUUUUGCUACAGGUCGGGUCCAUUGUGACCAAUGUUUUAAAACGCGGGCUAUGACAUUUAGCGGCGGCUCGGCCAGAAGCUAUGAAAGGCUAUAGCGGAGCUAUGCCUCAUUUAGCGUUUCUCUUAAAUCAUGAAAUAUUAAAACAAUAAGUAUAUAAUCAGGCAUCAUAUAUGAUAUAUUGCAUAUACUUUACAUAUACACAUGUUCGUACAUCAAAACGCGAGUACUAAUCAGACAUCCUGAUUCAGUAACCAAGUUUGACAUCCAUGCAUCAUACAUAUCCUAAACAAGAACAAAAAAUAAUUCAGAAGUAUGGUUUUGUAUAGUGGCUUAACGGGCUAAAUGACUCCAAAUUUAAUGCUAUACCGGGAAAUAGCGGGCUAUUAGCGUCAUUUUCAAUUUAGCCCUAAAAAUGCAUAGCUUUAGCGGGAGAGCUCCCAAAGGCUAUAUCUAAUAUGAUUGAUUGUGACUGGUGGCCAUUACAUCGACAACCUUGUGGGUAGCAUCGUUGCUGGCAAGAAAAGUCCCUGCUGUUGGCGUCAGCCUUGGAAUCGAAGGAGUCUUCACGGUCAUGCAGGAGAAAAAGAAGAAUCAGGUACUAACUAAAUUCCUUCAGAGAAGAUGUACAAAUACUGAGACAGAUAUAUACUUACAAUGCUGGUCUUUAAUAUUUAUUUCACGGUUAUUUUCUCCAAGUAGGAGGAAUUUUUAGUUUUUUUAAUUUGGUAGUUAAUUGACAAACACUAACUACAAAGCAACAUUUAAUCUUUUACUUUAUGACCAAUCAAAAUGUUACUCCAUGUCUUUGUGCAAUUUGUUCUCUCUCCUGUCUCUCAUGUUUCAAUGUGUUGGUGGAUAUAUUUUUUUCAUCUAUCUUUGUAUCCAGAUGUUUCAAUGGAAGGCACACGUGGAGAGGUGGAGGCCCCCUUCAGUGUUUCACUGGGCGCCAUUGGACCCAUUCUUAACAAGCUCGACAUGAUGCUAGGUCCUCAAGGAUGCAAGCUGCCCAAGGGGCUCCAUGACAGAUUUCACCUGCUAAAAGAUAAUGUUGAAGAAAUAAGUGCAUACCUUGAAGAUCUGUUAGAGGUGGAGGACCCUCCCAUGGCGGUGAAGUGUUGGAUGAAAGAGGCACAAGAGUUAUCCUAUGACAUCCUUGAUUAUAUUGACAGCCGUGUAUCCCUUGAGCUUCUGGAAUGCAGAUCUGUCCGCAAGAUGGGUCUUAUUAAGAUUGCCAAGAAGCUCAAGUGGCAGAAACAAAUUGAGUAUGCAACUCCUCAUGUGCCAGAACAUGUUAUCCCCAAAACCAUUUGUGUUGAUGUCAUUCGUGCUCCCAGGAGGCUCAAGUGGUACCAGCAGAUGAUUGAAAAGGUAUCAGAAUUCAGGAUCUAUGCCCUGGAGGCUAUUCAACGGUAUGAGAGGUACCAAGUCCUUUGUUGUAGUACCUCGACGGCAUGUAGAUUUUCUGCCAUUGGGCCUUUAAUGCCAAUGCCUCCACCGCCUUGUGAGAAAACUUGUUCUGGCCUAGUAAUUGAUGGUCGGAUGAGCAAGCUUAUCAACUCACAGCUGGCUAAUGAUGAGAAUGAGCAGCUCAAGGUGGUGUCUAUUCAUGGAUCUGGAUGUCUUGGUAAAACAAUGCUUGCCAAAGUGUUGUAUAAUAAAAUUGGGAGAAAAUUCGAUUGCCGAGCUUUCAUCCAGGUGUCCAAAAAGCCUGAUAUAAAGAAGCUUUUGAAUGACAUGCUAUCACAAAUCCAUAGGAAGCAGCCCCAAGCAAGCCAAAAGGCUUCUGAUGAACUUCGCAUAACUGCUGACAAUAUCAGGAAUUAUCUACAUGGGAAGAGGUACUUAUUUUCCUCAUGAAAAUAGUAUGUACUAGUUGUAUCCAUGAAUGUCCAGAAUCACAAGUAUUACGUAAAUUCCUUAUAGGUUCCUACUUUGUUUUUCACAAAAAAUAAGGCAUGAUGAUGUUAUUCAGACAAGCUUUACAGUGAGCUAGAAAAGAAUUUACUUAUUUUCCACAUGGUCUAGAAUCGCAUGUACUACAUUAAAUCGCUACAGGUUGAUCUGUUGUUUUUUUCAAAAAAAAAAAAAGGCAUGAUGAUAUAUAGUCAAUUUCUGAAAAGAUGUUUUUCAGACAAGCUUUACAGUGAGCUAGCAAAUGAUGCUGGCAGUAACAUUUAAUUUCAGGCUGGUACCAUAAAUCCAUGCAUUUUUUGGUACCAUAUAAAUCCGUGCAUGGACUAAAUACUCAUUCUUUUCUAGCUUAUCUCAGUGCUGUUGCCAUUUGCCUGGCACAUAGAUGUGACAUGUGUGGACUUUCUUGGCGUGCAGGUAUCUAAUUAUUGUUGAUGAUUUAUGGGAUACAUCGGCAUGGGACGUUAUUAAUCAGGUUUUCCCCAAGGGUAGUCAAGGUAGCAGAAUAAUAACAACUACACAGAUUGAAGAUGUUGCAUUAGCAUGUAGCUGCGAUCACCCAGAACAAGUUUUUGAGAUGAAACCUUUGGAUGAUGGUCACUCAAGGAAGCUAUUCUUUGGCAGGAUUUUUGGCUCUGAAAGUGACUGUCCUGAAGAAUUCAAACUAAUUUCGAGCCAACUUGUAGAAAUAUGUGCUGGAUUGCCACUAGCGACCAUCAGCAUAGCAAGUCUUUUAGCAAACCAGCCUUCUGUAUCAGUGGAUUUAUUGACACACAUACAUGAUUCAUUAGUGUCUUGUUUGUCAUCAAAUUCAACUUCAGAAAGAACGAGACAUGUACUGAACCUCAGCUACAACAACCUUCCUCAUUACCUCAAGACAUGCUUGCUCUAUUUUAGUAUGUAUCCAGUGGGAUCCAUAAUCUUCAAACUUGACCUGGCCAGGCAAUGGGUGGCCGAAGGGUUUAUUGCUGCAAGUGAAGGGCAAGACACAGAGGAAGUUGCAGGAAUGUAUUUCGAUGAACUUGUUGAUAGAAGAUUCAGCCAACCUGUGUCUAUCAACUUCAACAAUGAGGUGGUGUCCUGCACAGUUCAUGCCGUGGUGCAUGAUCUUAUUGUACACAAGUCUGCUGAAAAGAAUUUCCUUGUGGUAGUAGAUUGCAAUCGAAAAAAUUUGACGCUUUCUCAUAAGGUCCGUCGACUAUCUCUGCAACUUGGUGAUGCAAAAUGUGCCAAGAUACCAGCAAACAUCAGAAAGUCACAAGUACGGUCACUUGGAUUUUUUGGAUUGGCAGAGUGCAUGCCUUGUAUUGGAGAGUUCAAGCUUGUUCGUGUUCUCAACCUUCAGCUAUCCGGUCUUCGUCAUGGUAACAAAGACCUGUCCAUAGACCUCUCUAGAGUAUCAGAACUGUUCCAUCUGAGAUAUCUGAAGAUUGCUUGUGAUGUCUGCAUAAAACUUCCGAAGCGGAUGAGAGGGCUGCAGUGUUUGGAAACACUGGAUGUUAUGGAUACACCAAGAGGCACUUAUGUUCCAUGGGACAUUAUAUAUCUCCCACGCUUGUUGCACCUCAGUCUUCCUCCUNUCGAGGUGAAAUUAGUGGAUUCCGGUUCCCAUGGCGAUAAAAGGUAGUACUUUUGUUGCUGUUGAGUUAUUCAAUUAAACCUUAUUUGAGUAUUCAUGCUCUAAAUGGUUGUUGUAACCUGCAGGAUAUCACCAGAGUCCUCUUCGCGCCUGAAUCCUGCAGGUAUGCUUUUCAGUUGUAAUUGAGACGUUUCGUCAUGAGGUGAUAAAUUACUCGUAGAAAUUAGUAAGACAUGGAUGAAGUGUUGGCUUUUGGCAGGUGUAGAGGAGGGUGGAAAGGAGCAGGCUGUGGUCUCGUGGAGCAAUACCAUUGAUGUGAUAGGUCGGGAACUCUUCUUCCGUUGCCUGCACCUUGUGCCCAGGCGGGACUACGGCACCAUCGCCUCCCUCAACCGUGAAUUCAAUUCGGUGGUUCGCGACGGGGACAUCUACCGCCUGCGUCGCAAGAAUGGGGUGGCGGAGCACUGGCUCUACCUCUCUUGCGGUAACGAUUUUCUGGAUUGGGACGCUUAUGACCCGUCCACUGGGCGCUGGAUCCAAGUGCCCAAGAUGCCACCGGCUGGAAGCUCCUUCUGGGACGCGCUCGCUGUCGGAACCGAGCUGCUGGUGUUUGGGGCCUGCGGAGGGGCUACCUUGAGAUAUAGCAUCCUUACCAAUUCAUGGACAGGGCUGGCUGACGCUGAUGCGAUCAACACCCCGCGGUACCAAUUUGGGUCAGCGAGUGUCGGUGAAAAGGCGUAUGUCGCAGGAGGCUUUGAUUCUUCUUUUAUUAAUGUAUUGAGCUCGGCAGAGAUGUAUGACUCGGAGACAUACACCCCUUCCCAGCAUGCAUAGGGCCAGGUACAGAUGCUCUGGCGCCUUCAUGGACGGC